UUGACAGCUUUGGAAAUGAAUGGCUCCUUUUCCUCCCAAGAAUAGAUACAGCCUGAUAAACAGAGGUGUAAGAUUCCUUCAACGACUUCUUCAAUAAGCCUUCACCCUAAUAAAGCAGUGGCUGCAAGGGAGAAAGAACCACUUACCUUUCCAGCCAGCUCUCUGUGGACUGCU
rnacentral:sRNA from 1 species